GACGAACCGUGCAAACGUUGUUCGGAAUCACUGGGCUUAAAGGGCGCGUAGGCGGGCAGUCAAGUCCGGGGUGAAAUCUUUCGGCUUAACCGGAAAAGGGCCUUGGAUACUGGCUGUCUAGAGGGAGGUAGGGGCAUGUGGAACUUCCGGUGGAGCGGUGAAAUGCGUUGAUAUCGGAAGGAACGCCGGUGGCGAAAGCGACGUGCUGGAUCUCUACUGACGCUGAGGCGCGAAAGCCAGGGGAGCGAACGGG
rnacentral:rRNA from 1 species